rnacentral:lncRNA from 1 species
CACAUAAGCAACACGACGGGUGCCACAUGUGGAGCAGGAUCUGCUUACCCUUCCGGAGCACCUGAGAUCACCCCUAGUUUUUGGUGGGGUUCGUGUUGUUAAUUCUUUAGUUUUCUAUGUUGUGUCGUGUGUACUAUUGUUUUUCUGUUCGUCUUUUUUCAUUUUUAGCCAUGGCGUUGUCAGUUUGUUUUAGAUUUAUGAGUUUGACUGUCCCUUUGGUAUCUUUCGUCCCUCUUUUA